GACGAACGCUGGCGGCGUGCUUAACACAUGCAAGUCGAACGGAAAGGCCCUGCUUUUGUGGGGUGCUCGAGUGGCGAACGGGUGAGUAACACGUGAGUAACCUGCCCUUGACUUUGGGAUAACUUCAGGAAACUGGGGCUAAUACCGGAUAGGAGCUCCUGCUGCAUGGUGGGGGUUGGAAAGUUUCGGCGGUUGGGGAUGGACUCGCGGCUUAUCAGCUUGUUGGUGGGGUAGUGGCUUACCAAGGCUUUGACGGGUAGCCGGCCUGAGAGGGUGACCGGCCACAUUGGGACUGAGAUAACGCCCAGAAUACUACGGGAGGCAGCAGUGGGGAAUAUUGCACAAUGGGCGGAAGCCUGAUGCAGCAACGCCGCGUGCGGGAUGACGGCCUUCGGGUUGUAAACCGCUUUCGCCUGUGACGAAGCGUGAGUGACGGUAAUGGGUAAAGAAGCACCGGCUAACUACGUG
rnacentral:rRNA from 1 species